rnacentral:lncRNA from 1 species
UCUCUCUCUCUCUCUCUCUCUCUCUCUCUCUCUCGUCCCCACUCUUCUGCAGUUUGUCCCUGGGAGAAUCCCAAACACCCACCAGAAAGCCAAUAAAUCCCAAUCGUCAGCACUACUCAAACGGGAAACCUUACAGGAAAUGGAAGAGUUGGAGGGACACAAUGGUCACUGAUAUGAAAUAAUUCUCUAGUUGAAACGUGUGAAGGGGACUUCAGCAACACAAAUCAGUGUUUCUACAUCCGAAGCCAGACUCAAGGAGAGAAUUUGAAAUGGGAGGG